UAACAGAGUUUACGAUCCGAAGACCUUCAUCACUCACGCGGCGUUGCUCCGUCAGGCUUUCGCCCAUUGCGGAAGAUUCCCUACUGCUGCCUCCCGUAGGAGUCUGGACCGUGUCUCAGUUCCAGUGUGGCCGAUCACCCUCUCAGGUCGGCUAUGCAUCGUUGCCUUGGUAAGCCGUUACCUUACCAACUAGCUAAUGCAGCGCGGAUCCAUCUAUAAGUGACAGCAAGACCGUCUUUCACUUUUGAACCAUGCGGUUCAAAAUAUUAUCCGGUAUUAGCUCCGGUUUCCCGAAGUUAUCCCAGUCUUAUAGGUAGGUUAUCCACGUGUUACUCACCCGUCCGCCGCUAACAUCAGAGAAGCAAGCUUCUCGUCCGUUCGCUCGACUUGCAUGUAUUAGGCACGCCGCCAGCGUUCAUCCUGAGCCAGGAUCAAACUCUC
rnacentral:rRNA from 1 species